rnacentral:rRNA from 1 species
AAGGCCAGGCUGAAGACUUUGCCGGAUUAGCUGAGAGGUGGUGCAUGGCCGUCGUCAGUUCGUACUGUGAAGCAUCCUGUUAAGUCAGGCAACGAGCGAGACCCCACGCCCACAGUUGCCAGCGUACUCUCUGGAGUGACGGGUACACUGUGGGGACCGCCGCUGCUAAAGCGGAGGAAGGAAUGGGCAACGGUAGGUCAGUAUGCCCCGAAUAUCCCGGGCUACACGCGAGCUACAAUGGUUGGUACAAUGGGUAUCUACCCCGAAAGGGGACGGGAAUCUCCUAAAACCAAUCUUAGUUCGGAUUGAGGGCUGCAACUCGCCCUCAUGAAGCUGGAAUCCGUAGUAAUCGCGUUUCAACAGAACGCGGUGAAUACGUCCCUGCUCCUU